AUUGCAUUUACUGGGGAUCGAACCGGGUACCUAUCCCAUAUCCUUGCUUGUAAGCGUCUUUCCAACUGCGCUAUGAUAGCAUUUAGAUGAGCUGACGAAAUUUGGUUACUUAUUCUCGAGUAAGAAUUUAAAUAUCUAAUCUAAAGAGAAUAAAGUGUAUAGGGGACGUGCAUGAACUAUAGGGGGCAGCACAGGAGCCGUCAGAUCUUUGGCGCGAAGCGUAGAUGAAGAUUUUUUUUUUAAUACCACAUCGGUGGCAAACAAGCAUACGGCCCGCCUGAUGGUAAGCAGUCACCGUAGCCUAUGGACGCCUGCAACUCCAGAGGUGUUACAUGCGCGUUGCCGAUCUUUUAAAAACCUGUACACUCCUUUUUUGAAGAACCCCAUACUGUAGACCCUCGGGAAAACUCGGGAUUCCACAGCCGGAGCGUCCGCGGGAGGAAAUUCCUCUUAAAUAGCACAGUACGCGACCAUUUAGGUUCUAGGGUGUGAGGAUGAACACCCUGCCGGCGGCGAGCGGUGCGGUGAUAGAAAGCGGCCGUUGGCAUCAUGUCAAAUAAUUCCUCAGAGCACAGCCCAUUGUACAAGCGGUAGAACACACACAAGGAGGCAAAGUCUCUCCUUAGACUUAAAGGUUCAAUACCGCUUGUGAGUUUGGGAUCAUC